rnacentral:rRNA from 1 species
UACGAAGGGGGCUAGCGUUGUUCGGAAUUACUGGGCGUAAAGCGCACGCAGGCGGCUCGUUAAAUAAGGAGCGAAAGCCCUGGGCUCAACCCGGGAAUUGCUCUUUAGACUGGCGAGCUUGAAUUCGGAAGAGGGCAGUGGAAUUCCAAGUGUAGAGGUGAAAUUCGUAGAUAUUUGGAAGAACACCAGUGGCGAAGGCGACUGCCUGGUCCGAUAUUGACGCUCAUGUGCGAAAGCGUGGGGAGCAAACAGG